ACGCACGCUGGCGGCGUGCUUCACCCCUGCCAGUCGCACGGAAAGGCCUUUUCGGAGGUACUCGAGUGGCGAACGGGUGAGUAACACGUGGGCGAUCUGCCCUGCACUCUGGGAUAAGCCUGGGAAACUGGGUCUAAUACCGGAUAGGACCGCACUUUAGUGUGUGUGGUGGAAAGUUUUUUCGGUGUAGGAUGAGCCCGCGGCCUAUCAGCUUGUUGGUGGGGUAAUGGCCUACCAAGGCGGCGACGGGUAGCCGGACUGAGAGGUUGGUCGGCCACAUUGGGACUGAGAUACGGCCCAGACUCCUACGGGAGGCAGCAGUGGGGAAUAUUGCACAAUGGGCGCAAGCCUGAUGCAGCGACGCCGCGUGGGGGAUGACGGCCUUCGGGUUGUAAACUCCUUUCGCCAGGGACGAAGCGUUUUGUGACGGUACCUGGAGAAGAAGCACCGGCUAACUACGUG
rnacentral:rRNA from 1 species